GGAAUUAUAGUUAAAUAUAACAUUUAGUUUGCAUCUAAAAAGUAUCGAAAAUCGAUUAAUCUCA
rnacentral:tRNA from 1 species